CGGACGGGUGAGUAACGCGUGGGUAACCUGCCUCACACUGGGGGACAACAGUUAGAAAUGACUGCUAAUACCGCAUAAGCGCACAGGACCGCAUGGUCUAGUGUGAAAAACUCCGGUGGUGUGAGAUGGACCCGCGUUUGAUUAGCUAGUUGGUGGGGUAACGGCCUACCAAGGCGACGAUCAAUAGCCGACCUGAGAGGGUGACCGGCCACAUUGGGACUGAGACACGGCUCAA
rnacentral:rRNA from 1 species